AAUUCUUUUAAUUGCCUAAUCACCAAUUAAAUUGAUUUAAGAACCUAAACAAACUUGAGAAAGGGAGUUUAGUGUAGACUAAAAUUGGGAUAGCAUAUGAUCAUAUUAAUUGAUUUGUGUAUAGGAUAGGAAUAUACUUAUAUGUCAUAUGCAGCCAAAUUAGAGCCUGAACUUAAUGAGCUUACUUUUAAUUUUAAUUCACAUAGGGAUAUAGUAUUUUGAUUCAAAUAAAUAUUUUUAUAAGACGAGUCGAGAGACCCUUAUAAAUAAUUGAUGACUCUAGAUUAGCAAUUUAACCUAUUGAAAUAAGUUGAGGAAGAGAGUUAAAAUUUAGAUGAAGUGUGAGGGAUAUUGUAAUCCUAAACUUGUUUGAUUUGCUUUUUACUCAAUUAUCUUGUUGCUUUAAUUUUUAAUAGAACUAGUUUUAGUUGAGUAAUUUUUAGUUUAAUUAGAAUUCAUAUUUUAAUUAUUUGAAUAAAACUAAAUUGUUCUAAUUUUACUGUAAAAUUUUAAAUCAAUUCUUUAUGGAAUCGAUACUCUAGUUGCUUAUGUACUAUCUAUUUGAUACGUAUACGUGUGUAGUAGAAUUUUAAUUGACAAGAGUUGGUUGAGUUGCUAUGGUAUGAAGUAUAAGGGCUUAGAGACAAGAUCAUCACACUAAUGGCAACCACAGGAGGUGGUGUGCCAGCUACUCAAUGGGGGACUUGUUUGAAGGUGCCCAUGUCUAAGGAAUUUCAAAGCAAGAGAGAAGCCAAAGAGAUGGGCAAUUUCCUAUGGAGCUUGGAGUAAUACUUUAAGGCCAUGGCAUCAUGGAGGAUGCUUUACAGAUUAAUUUUGCAUCCAUGUAUUUGGUGGACAUCAACUUGCUAUGGUGGAGACAUAGAUGCAAUAAGAAGCUUAGAGGAGCAAUUAUCAACACUUGAGUGGAGUUCUAAAGGGAGUUCCAAAAGCAAUUCUACCCUAAGUAUGCAAAUAAUGAGUCACAUGGCAAAUUCAAAAGGCUUUCCCAAAAAAGUGAGAUGGGCUCAAACCAUAGGCCAAGUUGGAACUCCAAACGAAAAGUGUGCAAAAUGUCACAAAGGCUAUGACUGUGGUGGAAUCAUUGGUGGAUUUGCACAAACCUAACAGUAGGCCUUUUUUUUCAAGCCCAAGAAAACAAGCAGUGAUAGUUAGAGGAAAAUGUUGACAAAAAAUCGCCACACCAUCGAACUAAGGCAAUCUCCAAAUGAAAGGGCAAGGAAAGGAAACCUCUCAAAUGUUUCUUGUGUAAGGAACCACACUUGACAAAGGACUACCCCAUGCGUAAAAAGCUUGUAGCCAUCAUGAUGGACAAAGAGGAUCCAAGCAAUGGAAGUGGCAACCAGCGUGUAGAGGACUCAAUGAGCGAUCACACCCAGAGGGCCUAGUAUUGCAUAAAGAAAAAGAGAAAGACUAGUGCAGUAACAAGGAAUGCCAUCAUCCACAACUAGAGGAGCCUAGGAACGCACUGAGAUUAGGCAGCAUCAUGUUGCACCUAGGGGAGCAACAAACAAUAGCAGAAUGUUGUAUGGUUUGAGAGGGACCAAGAUUAGUGGUGACGAGACUACCACAAACAAGGCUUAAGAAGCUCAAGACAUAGGCAUAAAAUUGUCAAGACCAACCAAGCACUCAUGAGACCAACAGGCCGAGGCAAAGAAAGAUUGGUCCACAACAAGUGCUCAAGGAGACAAUGCAUUCCAAAGAAGUAUGCGUAAGCCAAAAGUGCACAAAAUGAGGUCGUUUGAGGCAAAGAUGUGCGAGAGGAGGACCUCAACGUAACAGUACAUCUAUUAGCAACGCCCUCGUUGUUGGACUGAGUCAGGGAUGAUGUCAUAGCUUAAAAGUUCAAACUAGUCUAGGUAGGCCAUGCAGCCUAAGCAAGCCAAGCAGCCCAAGCAACCUAGGCGACCUAGAUUAGCCAGACAACAAGCCUAGCUCACAUAGUGUAAUUUGAUUUGAACUUUUGGAUUUGAUUAUAUACAUUUAGAUUUAGAUUAUAUUAUAUUAA